CUACGUGCCAGCAGCCGCGGUAAUACGGAGGAUGCGAGCGUUAUCCGGAUUUAUUGGGUUUAAAGGGUGCGUAGGCGGCCUGUUAAGUCAGCGGUGAAAUCUAGGAGCUUAACUCCUAAAUUGCCAUUGAUACUGGCGGGCUUGAGUGUAGAUGAGGUAGGCGGAAUGCGUGGUGUAGCGGUGGAAUGCAUAGAUAUCACGCAGAACUCCGAUUGCGAAGGCAGCUUACUAAGGUACAACUGACGCUGAAGCACGAAAGCGUGGGUAUCAAACAGGAUUAGAUACCCUGGUAGUCCACGCAGUAAACGAUGAUAACUGGGCGUAUGCGAUAUACAGUAUGCUCCUAAGCGAAAGCGUUAAGUUAUCCACCUGGGGAGUACGCCGGCAACGGUGAAACUCAAAGGAAUUGACGGGGGCCCGCACAAGCGGAGGAACAUGUGGUCUAAUUCGAUGAUACGCGAGGAACCUUACCCGGGCUUGA
rnacentral:rRNA from 1 species